rnacentral:rRNA from 1 species
AUGCUUAACACAUGCAAGUCGAACGCCUGUAGCAAUACAGGAGUGGCGCACGGGUGAGUAACGCGUGGGAACCUGCCCCUGGAGUGGGGGAUAACUGAGGGAAACCUCGGCUAAUACCGCAUACGACCUGAGGGUGAAAGAUUUAUCGCUCUAGGAGGGGCCCGCGUCGGAUUAGCUAGUUGGUGGGGUAACGGCCUACCAAGGCUAUGAUCCGUAGCUGGUCUGAGAGGAUGAUCAGCCACACUGGGACUGAGACACGGCCCAG